rnacentral:rRNA from 1 species
AACGGCCAUAUCAUGCUGAAUAUACCGGUUCUCGUUAGAUCACCGAAGUCAAGCAUCAUUGGGCGCGGUCAGUACUUGGGUGGGUGACCACCUGGGAACACCGCGUGCCGUU